rnacentral:lncRNA from 1 species
UUUUUUUUUAGUGUGGUGCUGAGGAUUGAACCCAGGACCUCACCCAAGGUAGACAAGCACUCUACCACUGAGCUACAACCCAGCCCUCAAAAAUAUUGACUAGGACAAAAGUAGCUGUUCCUUGUUUAAGAUCCCAGAUUUUUUACGAUUCUCAGAAGUACUUAUCCUCCCUUAUUUUUGCCUGAAAGUGGGAAAAUAAGUUUUAUACUCAUUUUUUGCUUGAUUUAUUGCUCUUGAAAAUUUUAUUUUAUAAGAUGUAUAAGGAUUCAGACUAUAUAUAUAUAUAUAUAUAUAUAUAUAUAUAUAUAUAUAUAUACUUUUUUUUAGAGAGAGAGAGAGAAUUUUUUUUAAUAUUUAUUUUUUAGUUUUCGGCAGACACAACGUCUUUGUUUGUAUGUGGUGCUGAGGAUCAAACCCGGGCCGCACGCAUGCCAGGAGAGCGUGCUACCGCUUGAGCCACAUCCCCAGCCCUCAGACAAAAUAUUUUAAGCAAAUAUUUAUAAAAACAAAAAUGAAGGACCACUCAAUCGCAGAUAUUUUGAUGUUGUAGUAUACUGUCUGGAUUUAGACAAGAAAAUACAAAAUUUAUUUAUAUACUGACAUUUUCCAUGAAAAAAGGAAUUAACUUUGAACCACUUUCAAAAUUUUCCAUAUAGACACAAGAAUGUUUUUAGUAACAGCAUUUUUGUCCAAGUAAAUUUCCAAAUUUUCCCAUUUCAAUACAAUAGAAGUGUAGAAAAAAGACUUUUCUGGACAAGGAAAAUGGGUUAGAUGCUUGAUAAAUUUAGCAUUCAAAUUGCAUUUUACAAUCUCCCCAGUACAAGUAAAGAUAGACAAAAUGGAUGAGAAUCAGUUAAGAAUAUAAAAUGACUUUCAACUUUUCUAAUUUUGAAUUUAUUGAUUAAACUUUCUCUCUUAGGACAUUUUGAGCAUACUAUCAAAUAUUUUAUAUGACAUACAUGUCCAUUUUGUUCUGUAAACUGUUCUUAUUACAAAGAGUUACCAAAUGAAGCUGCCUUUCUAGAAGCAUAAAAUUUUUACCACUGAACUAUAGUUUCUUCAUUUGUUUGAAAACCAAAAUGGUAUAACAGAAAGAAUAUUUUAGCAAGAAAUCGAAAAACUUGGUUCUAAACUUGCCUUUGCUUACCAAUAUUUGACCAUAAGGAAGUCAUUUGAUCUCUUUAAGCAUCAUUUUUCUCAUUUAUAAAACAAGGCUAGUGCUGGGCAUGUUGGUACACACUUGUAAUCCCAGCAAUUUGGGAUGCUGAGGCAGGAGGAUCACAAGUUCAAACCCAGCCUCAGCAAUUUAUCAAGGCCAUAAGCAAUGUAGUGAGACCCUAUCCCAAAAUAAAAAAUGAAAAGGUCUAGGGGUAUCUGGGUUUAACCCCCAACACCAUAAAAAAAAAAGACUAAUAACCUCAUUUAUUGAGUUUCAUGGAAUUAUUUUAAGAAUCAAGUGAAUCAUGAAAAUAAAAAGCUUGUAAAUAGAGAAAGCAUUCACAAAUGUGAGGUUGAUAUUGACUUCUCAUGGGCAUACAUAUUUACAGUGGAUGAGAAUUUUUUAUCUUUCAUGUGUGUUCAGAAGGGGCAAAAGAAGGUACAUGUUUUCAUGGACCUGGGGGAUUUCUGGGUUGAAGCUUAUCCUCUGCCCUUUUACCCUGAACCACUAUUCCUCCAAAGAAGAAAUGAUAGGGAAGGAAGUCCCCAGAGAAUUAAUUCAAUCAAAAGUCACAUUUGAAUGUGUUUUUUGUGUAUCUUUGAAGUGGAUAUUUAAUUGUAUUUUCAAAUACUUGUACAUUUUCUAGGUUCUUGUAAGUAUUUUCAAUAGUGUUUAUGAAUAGAAGAAUAUAAAUUAUGUCACUAUAAAAUUUUGAAUAUUUACAUUGUCAACUUUUUUUAUAUUAUUAAAUUAAUUUCACAUGAGUGAAUUCAUACCAUAAUUGACCAGAUGAGAAAUAUUUGUCGCCCAAAAUGUGAAGUAGACUAUUUUUACUAUUACAAUUUUAAAUCUUAAAAAUCAUCAGUCCAAAAUGGCAUAAGCUCAACUACUAGGUAUCUAACAGCAAUUUAAAGUAUAGUCACCUGUGCCUACUUGUAAAGUUAAACAGCUAUAAUAUAAAAUGUGACUUAACUUUCAGUGGACACCCUUUAUAAUAUUUAUGUUGGAUGAGACUAAUUAUUCAGGCUGAAGGAUUUGAUGUGUUCCAAGAUUUAGAACAGAAUUAAGAAACUAGGAGAAACAAUUGGGAAAGCAGAACCCCAAAAUUUAAUACUUGAAUAAGUAGAAGCAAGCCUAGCACUCUGGUCUCCUAACAUCUUGAUUACCAUGCUUGGGGGGGGUGAGUUAUUGUGUGAGUGUGUGUGUGUGUGUGUUUGUGUGUGUGUGUGUGUGUGUGUACACAUGCCUGCAUGCAUGUACUCACAUGAGCAUGCAUGUGCACAUGGCUGGUUGUUGAGGAAUGUGAGGAAAGGGGAAGUAUAAUCAGAUGGAAUCAACAAAAUUCUAAAUUUGGGUUAAAUCAUUUUUAUAUUUUAGAGAAGCUGUUUGUGAUAAAACCAUAGUACAGCGAAUAAUGACUGCAAAGAUCUGAGUUCUUAAACAAGAUUGCCAAACACCUGUAUACCCUUAGCCAGAUAUCUUUAUUCAUUUAUAUAUAUAUAUAUAUAUAUAUAUAUAUAUAUAU